GUGUCCGUAGUGUAGUGGUUGUCAUGUUCGCCUAACACGCGAAAGGUCCCUGGUUUGAAACCGGGUGGACACA
rnacentral:tRNA from 1 species